ACGUCAGGAGAGCUACCUCAGAGUAGACAGUAUCCUAUUUCUCCUCUGUACAGCCUCCUGCUUUUGAUUUUGCUCAAGGAGAAGGGGACUGGGAGCCAAGGCACAUUUUAUAGGCUUGUGAGUUCCCAGCGUCACGAAGGGAGUGGAGCGAUAAGCUCCAUCGGCUGCUGCUGUAAUAGUACAGAACAGGCUGUAACACAGAACCAUCUUCAGCAUCAUGACUCAAGAAAAUUUUAAUACAUGCUGGAAAUGAGUGAAAAUGGACCACUGAAGAAAUAUUUAAGGAGACUGACAUUAACAAAGAGAAAAGUACUAAGAUCUUAAAUUGUCCAUUUUACUCACACUGCCUGGAGUACCUAUUGAUAGUAGUAUCUCAAACGACAGAGUUGUACCCAGGAAUUCAAGAAAGGAGAUGAGCUCCCUCCAAGACAGGACCAGAUGUUUUUGAAAAAUAUUGUUUCACUCCAAUAACUCCAAGUCUAACUUCAUCCUCUGGUAACCUACUACAGAUAUUUGUUCCCUUGACCACUCCUAUUGGUGGUCCCAUUACCUAGUUAUAGCCUCUCAAAAGAGUCUGUUCCUGUCUUCCAGUCAGGAUUGCAAUUUGUAGUAUCCUCUACCAACAGUAAUCUGUAAGAUUGUUAAAUCCACAACAUCCCUUUUAAUGUCCCUCCUUUUGUCCUUGCUUUUGUUCCCUGCCUGAUCAAACUGUUCCCUCUUUUAUUGCCAUUCUCAAAGCCUAUGCACAGUCUUUAAAACAUUUUAGUGAUUUUAGUCCUUUCAGACUGAAAUCCUUGAUUCUUCUCUGCCUUGUAGACUGAUUUCCAUCUGUCCAAUUGCCUCUUCUACUUGUAUGGCUUAUUUGCAUUAUGUUGUUUCCUAUAUGAGAAACGAGAGCUUUCUUCUCAUCAUUCUAUCAUCAGUCUUGGUAAUUUGAUGCAGCCAGGAGUAACACCUGAAAAGUUCUGGGACAAUAUUUGGAUACAUUUGUUGUCAAAUUCAGCCAAGUGUUCAAGGAGCAUGUGGGACCUGUGGCCCUGAGGAGCUAUAGCAAGGUUCAAAUGCUGCUGAAUUUCACAGCAUUGCUCUGCAUCAUGACAUCCAAGUGAUCUUUAGUAAACAGCUUAGGCAAAAUGACAUAUUUUCCAAAGCCAUCUUCUGCAGAACAUAUGAAAAUUUCCCCUGUGCACCCUGCAACUCUCAAAAUCAUUAUGAAAGUUUCUAUGAAAAUAAUCUAACUUUGCUAGCGAGGACAUAGAAUUGUUUAGGUUGGAAAAGACCUCUAAGAUCAUUUAAUCUAACCCUUUAACCAGACCUUCCAGGUCCACCACUAAACCAUGUCCCUAAGCCCCAUAUCUGCAUAUCUCCUAUAUGCCCCUUCAGCUUUUUUUGUCUUUUAAAGUUGUAGCCACUGAAAGAAAAUAGACUUAGAGGUACAGGAGUAGUAUUAUAAAUUCUGCUUGAAUUAAUGAUCUAGUUCAUUGAAAAAAAAGAAAAAAAUCUUAUUUCUUUAAAUAACUAGAAUAUCACUUUUCUAUGAGGGCUCUUAACCUGCUCUCUUGGCAGAUCUCCCAUGACUGGGCUAUUUCUUGACUUUGGUAGCUCACUAUGUUGAGACCAUUGUCUAUUAACUUAGUUAUAUUUUGAAAUCAUGCUCUGAAGUUCAAAUCCCUUAGAAAGGGAAAAGAAUAUUUUUUUGCCAUUGAAAGUAGAUGCAGGGGUUUGGAAAGAACAACUAGUUCUUUAUAACAAUUUCACAUCACAAGUCAGACCAUAUAUAGGUGUAAAAAAUUUAAAAAAUAAGCUGUAUUAAUUUAAUGUACAGCAUUAGUGAUCACUUCAUCCACAUGUGUAUUAAUCACUGACUUCAAGAUGAGUGUAUUAUAUGGGAUUAGCAGCUAUUUUCCAAACAUUUUUGCCUUUUCUGUAGCACUGAACUCAGUCAUGCCUCCUUUUCCAUCAACAUGGGAUAAAUAGAUAGUGUAGCCCCAUGUGACAGACUGAAAGCUAAGGGAUCUGAAAACAUUAACUUCAGUUUGAGAAAUUAAGUGCUGGGAUCCCACUUUUUCUGCCAUUUAAGAAACUUAAUUAAAAGAAAUUUAAGACUUCAACCCUACAUCACUGUUCACACAUCCAAAAAGAAUAAGGCCUUUUUGUGUAAAAAUUAAUUGGGCAGCAGGGAUUUCCCCAUGACCUUAAAAUCCCUGCACUUCUUCUGCCUCCCAAUAGCCAAACAGGCUGGAGUUAGAGCUACAGAACUGAGUCAGAGCUAGGAGGUUAGUGCACAGGAAUAUGGUUUAGGAGUUUCAAGAUGUAGGGCUCUUGCUUCAGGAAUUAGUGAAAAGAAUUGGAUUGAGUGACUAGUGUAGAGUGUAGGGUUAGAGAUGAGGGUUGAGGACUAACUGAAGUGGUCUGAAGUCACCCUUUUGCCAUGAUGAGUCAAUCUCCAUGAUUUUUUUCUCAUACACUGAAUCAUCAAUUUGAUGCUCUGAAGGGACCUGAGGACUUCUGAGCUAUCAAGAGUGAGGAGAACCUUUUUACACAAAAUUCCCUGUAGAUAAUUCUUCUUUGUGUGAACAUCCACUCUGAAAAUAGAAAGAGGUUUUAUAUGACUACGUACAAAUGAGGAAAUCAGGUAUUGGAAGACAGUGGAUUCUGGUACAUGGGAUCAAAACUGACAAGAAAAUUAAUUGAUUUAUGGGUGUUAGUGGGUUCCCUUCCACCAAACAGGUUGACUGAAUCAGUGUGCCAGGAAAGAAGAGAGCUCAGAUGGAUGGACAUCAGUCAGCUGGUAUGUGUCUGAUCCAAGAGUGCACGAAUCAAAUGGUUCAUCCUAGGAGAGGAAGGGAAGGACUAGGUAUACAAUAGAGAUGAGAAAGGGGAAAGAGUAGCUGAUAACAUUAUUACAAUUACAACAGAAUUUUAAAGUAUUGUCAUGAAAUGGGUUCAUAGCCACACAGGUCACCUACUAUGGUUCAAUUCUGUUUUGUAUCAGUUUAUUAGUUAGGAGAUAAAUGUGAAAUUGCAUUUCAUUUGCAAUUGAUGCUUAAGGCUAUUAGUCAAUAGUAGGUAUUGAUUCAACUAAAUCAGCUUUAAGGCUGAUUUAGGUUUAGUUGGUCUAACAUUUAGGCAUAGGCAAGAUAUUUCAAGAUCUAGACAGGAAUGAUACUAUACCCUCUAUAAAUUUUCUGUGGUACUGAUUUUCAGUGUGUUUCAGCAUGUGAAAAAUAUCAUAGGAUAUGUCUAAUGUUCUUCUGUAAACCAGAAAUAACCAUUGUUUUGCAUCUUUUCAUAAAUAGGAUUGUACUUUGCCAAUAGAAAUUCUAUUACUUCUUGAUAAAAAUAUGAAAGAUGGAGAGAAGGUAGGGAUAAAAAUAAAUUCACUGCUUGGUAUUUUAUUGAAAUUCCUAUAAAAUCUUAGCUGAAACUGAGUAUGAAGUGGCUUGAAUAGAGCUACAAUAAUAAGCCAGCCAGAACAGUUAAUACAACAGGCAACUAGUAACAUCAGUCUGUCUGGAAAUUAGUAUUUGGAAGAGUUUUAUUAAAUGUCUCCUUAUGUAAGCACUCAGUGAGGGUAUUGAUAAUAAUUUAAUGAAAUCUGAAGAUAGUAGUGAAAUUAUGAAAGAGGUGCUCACAGUAGCUGAAGCAGAUAAUAAAAUAUUAAUUUUAAGAAAAUACAAAUUUAUAACAUAAGAAAAUAAAAAGGUGAAUGUUGGCAAAAACAAAAGAGGAGGUAGUUUAUAUAGCUGUGAUGGACCUCAGCAAUGACUUACAAAAACUCACAUAUGCAAAGACUCACAUGAAAAGCAGUUUAACAAAGGAGAUCUCAGGUGACAGAAAUGUGGUAGAAAACAAUGAUGGCUUACAGUGAUGCUGCAAGGAUAACCCCUUCAAAACUGACUUGCUGUGCAACAGCAUCUAAGGUAGGAAACUCUUUUUAUGGCACUGAGGUGACAACUUAGAACAAGUUAUUAUCCGAGAAAUAACAAAACAUAGGCAUUUCAAAGACUGGAAACCAUCCUGUGCCAUUCCAUUCUGUGAUGGUAAAUUCAAGAGAGCACAAAAUUGGGGUGAAUUUUAAGAGUUUUGGCAAAAAAUAAAAAAAAAAUUAAGCUGUCAGGACUGUUCUCCAUAGCUACUCUAAUACUGAUGUACAUAUAUUUAAAUUGCUUAUGGCAGGUUGAAAAUAAAAAAAGAAAAAUGCCCCACAUACAGAGAUAAACUGUGUAAUUCCUUACCAAAGGUUAUUGCAAAUACUAAAAUGUUUCUGGUGUUCAGAACUGAUUUGAUACAUUAACAGAAGAAAAAAUUAUCUAGGCUAUUAAGAGAAAGAUGUCAGCUGUGGUCAGGAAAUUUUAGAAUAAUAAACUAAAAGCUAGGUGUCAGUUCUUGAGAAAUAUAAUUCUCAUUUUCUUUCUACUUUUCUCAAGGAAUCCUCUACUGGUGUUACUGAGUACAGUAUACUGAGACUGAGACCUUCUGUCUGACAUUUUAUGGUUGGUUCCAUUUUCUCUCUAAAUAUUCUUAAACCUAAAGCUGUAUCUUAUCUAAACUCAUUAAGUGAUCCUCUUAUUGCAAAUCUUUCUCUUUACCUCCCAGAGCUCAUAGAAGUGGUUACAGAGUCCAUGUGGUCCAUUAAAAAAUGAGACACCAGUUUUUCACUAAAUAGUCUCAUUUAAAAGGAAGACAUUUUCUGGGAAGAAUGAGACUAUAAGUAAUCAGAAAUAGCCUUACCUUAAUAUGCAUUUUUUUGCAACAAUUGGGAAAAAAUAUAUUAUUCUAGUAUGUCACACAUCCCUUCCUUGCAAACUGCUGAUUUCCUAUGCUCCUGAUCGCUUAAAAAUUGACAUAAAUUACUGUACUGGAACUUGCUUUACAAACUGCAUAUGAGGUGAAGGUGGAAGUGCUUAAUGUCUUCUUUUCCUCAGUCUUUAGUGGGAAGACAGCUUGUCCUCAGGACAGCUGUCCUCCUGGGCUGGUAGAUAGUGUUAGGAAGCAGAAUGGUGCCCUGAUACCCCAGAGGAGACAGUCAGAGAACUGCUGAGCCUCCUGGAUGUUCAUAAAUCUAUGGGACCAGAUGGGAUCCACACCAGGGGGAUGAGGGAGCUGGCAGAUGAGCUU